rnacentral:rRNA from 1 species
GACGAACGCUGGCGGCGUGCUUAACACAUGCAAGUCGAACGGAGUGGCGAACGGGUGAGUAACACGUGGGUGAUCUGCCUUGCACUUCGGGAUAAGCUUGGGAAACUGGGUCUAAUACCGGAUAGUGCAAGAUGAGCUCGCGGCCUAUCAGCUUGUUGGUGGGGUAAUGGCCUACCAAGGCGUCGACGGGUAGCCGGACUGAGAGGGGGUACGGGCACAAUGGGACUUGGGUACCGCCCAGACUUCUAAGGGAGGCAAGAGUGGGGAAUUUUUGACCAUUGGCGGGAGUCGGAAGCAGCGGCCGCGGGUGGGGGAUGAAGGCCUUCGGGUUGUAAACUCCUUUCGACAGGGACGCGGUACCUGUAUAAGAAGCACCGGCUAACUACGUGCCAGCCGCCGCGGUAAUAC